AGCAACGCGAAGAACCUUACCAAAUCUUGACAUCCUUUGACAACUCUAGAGAUAGAGCCUUCCCCUUCGGGGGACAAAGUGACAGGUGGUGCAUGGUUGUCGUCAGCUCGUGUCGUGAGAUGUUGGGUUAAGUCCCGCAACGAGCGCAACCCUUAAGCUUAGUUGCCAUCAUUAAGUUGGGCACUCUAAGUUGACUGCCGGUGACAAACCGGAGGAAGGUGGGGAUGACGUCAAAUCAUCAUGCCCCUUAUGAUUUGGGCUACACACGUGCUACAAUGGACAAUACAAAGGGCAGCGAAACCGCGAGGUCAAGCAAAUCCCAUAAAGUUGUUCUCAGUUCGGAUUGUAGUCUGCAACUCGACUACAUGAAGCUGGAAUCGCUAGUAAUCGUAGAUCAGCAUGCUACGGUGAAUACGUUCCCGGGUCUUGUACACACCGCCCGUCACACCACGAGAGUUUGUAACACCCGAAGCCGGUGGAGUAACCUUUUAGGAGCUAGCCGUCGAAGGUGGGACAAAUGAUUGGGGUGAAGUCGUAACAAGGUAGCCGUAUCGGAAGGUGCGGCUGGAUCACCUCCUUUCUAAGGA
rnacentral:rRNA from 1 species